UGGGGAAUAUUGGACAAUGGGGGCAACCCUGAUCCAGCAAUGCCGCGUGUGUGAAGAAGGUCUUCGGAUUGUAAAGCACUUUCGACGGGGACGAUGAUGACGGUACCCGUAGAAGAAGCCCCGGCUAACUUCGUGCCAGCAGCCGCGGUAAUACGAAGGGGGCUAGCGUUGCUCGGAAUGACUGGGCGUAAAGGGCGUGUAGGCGGUUUACACANUCNGAUGUGAAAUCCCCGGGCUUAACCUGGGAGCUGCAUUUGAUACGUGUAGACUAGAGUGUGAGAGAGGGUUGUGGAAUUCCCAGUGUANAGGUGAAAUUCGUAGAUAUUGGGAAGAACACCGGUGGCGAAGGCGGCACUGGCUCAUGACUGACGCUGAGGCGCGAAAGCGUGGGGAGCAAACAGGAUUAGAUACCCUGGUAGUCCACGCUGUAAACGAUGUGUGCUAGAUGUUGGGUAACUUUGUUAUUC
rnacentral:rRNA from 1 species